GUGAGGAAUAUUGCGCAAUGGAGGCAACUCUGACGCAGCCAUGCCGCGUGCAGGAAGAAGGCGCUACGCGUUGUAAACUGCCUUUAACCGGGAAGAAACCCCAGGACGUGUCCUGGGUUGACGGUACCGGAGGAAUAAGCACCGGCUAACUUCGUGCCAGCAGCCGCGGUAAUACGAAGGGUGCAAGCGUUAUCCGGAUUCAUUGGGUUUAAAGGGUGCGUAGGCGGAGCGUUAAGUCAGUGGUGAAAUCCUGCAGCUUAACUGUAGACUUGCCAUUGAUACUGGCGCUCUUGAGUGUGCUUGAAGUGGGCGGAAUGUGCCGUGUAGCGGUGAAAUGCUUAGAUAUGGCACAGAACACCAAUUGCGAAGGCAGCUCACUAAGGCGAUACUGACGCUGAGGCACGAAAGCGUGGGGAUCGAACAGGAUUAGAAACCCCAGUAGUCC
rnacentral:rRNA from 1 species